rnacentral:lncRNA from 1 species
AUGAGUAACAGCACACCAAUGCUUAUUUGAAUAAAGUGUCAUUCAUGGACAAAAACUAAAGAAACCAACUGGGACUAGGGGGCGAGGCCAUGAUAUUAUCAAUUACGUUACACUAGGCAGGCUAUAAUUACCAUUGAGAAUAGAAUGAUAUAUUCACUUCUCAGCAACUCCAAUAUCUGAUAGUAUCAUAUUACCCUACAGGCAUAAUACAAACAACGAAUGAAAUGUGAGUUGCAACAAUCAGGCAAUCAAAAUCACAUUUUGAACAAUAUAGGAACCCAACAUCUAAACAAAAUAGUAUCAACAAUAAACUACUAUUCCUUUCAUGAUACAAGGAAUUUUUGCCUCCAUAAAUUAGUAAUUACUUCAUACGGAGUAAAAUUUAAGGGUACAACAGACACCACCGCCUCAUAAUUCAAGAACCAAACCAUCAAGAAGGCUAUGUUGAAAUCUAAUCACCACAUCCAAAUAGGUAUUUCUCUGGUCUCAACAAGUGACACAAGGAAAUUUUUGUAUCUAGUGAAUACCUUUGCCUAAAUCUAGUACAAGGUUCUGUUUUUAUCUUGUAAACAUAUAUAUACAUCCAAACAUGUAUACACACACACACGUGUAUGCACUCUGAAGUUCCCUAGAAAUUAUAAGUAGGUUUUGUAGGUACAUGGCUAUGACCAAUUCUUGUCCUAGCUUGUAGUUCUAGGUUAGCCCAAGGGUGUACCUUUUCCAAAAUUUCUCUUUAUGAUGUUGCUUUAUCCUUCUAGGUAUAUAUUGUUAAUGGCCACAACCUCAGCAAUCUUUUUCAUGUUUCCAUGCAUGGAUCAGUUUAAAAAGGAAAAACACAUGAUUUCCAGAGUUUGAACUUCCAUUAUUUUACUAUAGGUACAAGGUUAACAUUUUUUGGUAUUCAUGCCCCAGUUUAGUCAUUUUCAUACUGACAUGUGUUAAUGGUGUUUCUUACAUGCUUAUUGAUGAAAUCCUCCCUUCCCAAGUCCACAAUUCAUUCUAAGUUUAUCAAAAGACAUCAAGGCAUCAUAGAAAAUCAACAAUUCUAAUAUUGUAACAUCUCCAACAUUUGUAGAAAACACAAGAUUCCAUAUUUAAUCUCUAGAUUGUAAAUUAAGGUUCAAAACUCAAAAGCACAUUCAUAUAGACACAAACCUCACUAGCCAUCAGCUUCCGGACAUUAUUAGCAUAUAAUUUUCCCAUACAUUACAAAUGAGCUUAAUUUGAGAGUUAUACCCUGGUAAUGAGAGAACCUGUUUUGGGCAACAAUUCAAAUCAUGACAAAAUUUUUUGGUCUCCAUCUCAUCCUUGUAGCAACAUGUACCUUACUCAUGUCAUUCCUCUUGUGUGGAGCUACCAUUAUCUUACCAAUAACAUGCAAAGUAGACAAUAAGAUUGAACAAUAAAUCAAAAUUCCUUAAGUUUAGAAUCUUAUACUGUAAGGAGAGUGGAACUAUGAGUGUCCAAGUGUGGUUGCUUGUCAAGAGUUGAAAAUUUGGAUGAUUAUUUGGAGGUUCUAUUCAAAUUCUUGGGCAGAAUGAUUAGAGAAUGAAAAAUGAUUAAGAAAUUUAGACAACAAUAGAGCAAGUAAGAAAAAUUCAGAUCUGAAAUGAAGUAUGAAAUAGACUAAGAAUGAUAAUUAGUUCAUUUGUAGCCCUUAUAAGAAGAUAACUAAGUCUCCAAGUGUAUUAUUACUUUCCUUGUUCAAAAUGGUACACAAGAACUUGUUUCCCCAAAACCAAAACACAAUCUUCUUAGGUGUAAGUGGAUUUUUCACAUUAAGCAUUUACCUGAUGGUUCUGUUGACAAGUACAAAGCUCAUCUUGUCACCAAAAGAUUUCAGCAAUGACCGGGCAUUGAUUAUCAUGAUGUUUUCAAUCCUGUUGUCAAACCCACCAUUAUACAUCUUGUUCUUAGUAUUACAAUCAGCCAUGCUUGGUUUCUCUACUAACUUGAUGUUAAUAAUGCUUUUCUUCAAGGCCACUUGUUUGAAGAUGUUUUCAUGGCUUAACCAUUGGGAUUCAUUAACUGUGAUCAUCCUAAUUAUGUGUGCAAACUUUAAAAAGCUAUCUAUGGUCUCAAGCAAGCACUACAUGCUUAGUAUCAUGAGCUCCACUAGUUUCUUCUCACCUCUAGCUUCACUAACUCUCAUACUUACACUUGACUAUUUGUCCUCAAUACUAGUGGUGUCAUGGUUUAUCUCCUUGUUUAUGUUGAUAAUGUUAACAUAACAAGUGACAAUGAUGGUGUCGUGUAAAAGUUCAUCCUAAUCUUGCCCAACAAUUCUCCCUUAAGGAUCUCGAGUCUCUUUCUUAUUUUCUUAGCAUUAAAGUCACACACCAUCGUCAUGGAUUAUUUCUUUCUCAACACCAAUAUAUUGGCGAUCUCUUAGCUCACACUCACUUGUCAAAUGCUAAACCAAGCGCCACACCACUUACUACAUCUCCAACACUUGAACUCUAUACUGGUACCGCCCUCUCUAAUCCAAUAGAGUAUCAGACUAUUAUUGGCAAUAUUGAGUAUAUUUCUCACUCGACCUUAAAUAGCUUUUACACUGAGUAAACCCUCACAAUUUAUGCAUCACCCUACUAGUGCUUAUUAAACUAUUGUCAAACGCCUUUUUUGGUACCUUUGUGGCACAUAUGAUCAUGGUUUGGUUCUUUAUCGCAACUCUCCUUCUCUUUUCAUGCUAAAGAUAAUUUUACUUCUAUAAGUGCUUACAUCGUUUACAUUGGUCGUAAUCCUAUCUCAUGGAGUUCUAAGAAGUAAAGAAUUGUUGCACACUCUUCUAUUAAAGCGGAAUAUCGUUUUGUUGCAUAUACAUCUACAGAAUUACGUUGGGUAUGUUCACUUCUUAUUGAACUUAGUGCUUAUGUUCUACAAGUGUCUAUGAUCUAUUGCAAUAAUGUUGAUACUACUCAUCUCAACUCCAAUACGAUCUUUCAUUCCUGCAUGAAACAUAUUGAAUUGGAUUAUCACUUUAUUCAUGAACAAGUUCAAAGUGAUGCUCUCUGUGUGGCUCAUGUUUACUCCAAAGAUCAGUUAGUUGAUGCGCUCACCAAGCCUCUUCCACAUGCAUGAUUUCUCACUCUUCAAGCCAAGAUUCAACGCUCCUCCUAGAGCCCCAUCUUGUGGAGGCAUAAUACAGAAACUAAAUAAUUUAAAUAUUAGUUUAUCCUUAAUUUAACUAUUAAUAUUUAUCUAUUAAUUAUUAGUUUGAAUUAGAGUAAAAUAUAAAGUUUGAAUUAGAGUAGAAGUGUACUAUUAGUUUGAAUUAGAGUAGAAGAUAGAAUUUGAAUUAUAGUAAAAUUGAAAUGUAUUUAUAUAUAAAUAUUCCACAUUAUCAAUGAGAAUGUAAGUGUGGACCCUCCAUUUUGGCUCAUGCGUUUCCCACUCGAUGGCGAACUCGAUUUAUUAUUUGAAAAAUGAUUUUUAUUGUUUUAGAAAAAUGACUUGGAGUCACCACUUAUUUUUGUUUUAUUUUGAAGGGUAUACAAAAUAAGAAAGAAAAACCUUAAGUGCGACUCCUUAUUUUGGAAAAGAUGGUCUGUGAAAAACCGGAUUGGGUUCGGGGGUCAGGUUACUAUUCGAGAAGGUACGGUAAAAACCGUAGCACCCCUCUAAGUCCCUAAAGUCGGGUCUCUACUAAUGAGAUGAAGCAAUAAUGACAAUGGAUGAGUAAAUCAAUGAAUACCUGGAAUAAAUCAUGCACACGUGGGUAUCAGAACAUGCAUAGACACUUAUCAAAGUGAAAGUGGAUACAUACCUGGGCAACGAGCCACCAUGCGCUAUCAAGAGAGAGAGUUAGUGCACAAUUAAGGAAUGAUAGCAUGCAUGUCAAUGUCAGGGAGCAGGAUAAAUCAAUCAUGUAUGAUAAUCAAAUCAAUCAAUCAGUCAAUCAAUUAUAAAAUUAUUUAUGUGGGGCCCCCACCAAUGCCCGAUUUAUUUUAGCAUGAAUUAAUUUCGUAAAUUCCAUUAAUUGGAAUUACAAAAUUAAAAUCUUGCUUAUUUUAAAACGUUUUAAAACAAAUGGGGAUGUAGAAAUUGUUUGCUAGAAGGAAAGAUGGCAACAAAGUUUUACUAAAAAUGGGACUCUUGGGUGAUCCUAAAAAUUCUAAGGAUGAAAUAUGGGGAAAUUGGAAUUAUUUGAAAACCUGAAAUCGAGAAAGUAUUACCAAAAUGAGGUAUAGGGAAACUGCUUUCAAAAUCAAGGGAUGAUGAACUGGGUCGAUAGCUCAUGGCAUAAGAAAAGGAAAAAAGUUGCAUGCCAAAGGUGGCCAUACAACUGGAAGCAUGCAGUGGUGAGCUUAGGGAGGAAUGAUGCUGGCAGAGAUGUGGGCUCCAUCUCUUGAAUCUGAUCUAUCAUCUUCUCUCAUUUGUCCAUGUCACUACCACUGUCACCAAACCAUAGGCCUUCUAAUCACGUGAUGACUCCACUGUAGACUGUUUGAUGCAUUCUCAUAUAAACUCUUAAACACCUUUUGAGCUACAGUCAAUGCAGCCUCGUCUCGGCACAUACAUUUGAGUAUUAUUUCGGGAAUCUGAGUGAUAAACCCCUAAAUUUCAGCAUCCUGAGUCCUUGGUUAGCAAAGCUUCCAACUCCUGUGCAGCAAUUUGGUACUUAUCUAAUGCAUCUCCAAUAUUCAACAAGGGUUUAGAGAUGCACUCCACAAAUGUUUUGUGGUAGAAGCAGCAGGCAAUGAUAGUGGAGUAGCUCCCAAUCCUUUUCCAACAUUAGAGGCCUCCACUGGAUGAACUUCAGGGGUAGGAGCCAUUGACGAAAAUGAAAUAGAGUUAAGUUUAGAGCCAUGAGGAGAAACACCAUCCAUCACUCCAAUGCGUACAAAAGGGCCACUGAGGAAUUGGGCAGAACUGGGAUCCAUAUCCUCAAGAAUUAGAUCCAAGAGCUAAGUAGCACUCGAUCCAGUGGCCCCGGUCCCAGUAGAGUAGAAGCCUAGGCUAAGCUGUCUUGAUGAUGAAGCAUAAGCGCGAGACAAACUAGAACUGCCAAGACCACCAAAUACAGCAUGUGAUCCAACAGGAACUGCAUUUGAGCUCUGUCCAGAUUGAUUUUGCCAGANNNNNNNNNNNNNNNNNNNNNNNNNNNNNNNNNNNNNNNNNNNNNNNNNNNNNNNNNNNNNNNNNNNNNNNNNNNNNNNNNNNNNNNNNNNNNNNNNNNNGGACAAAUGACCAUGUUUGGGGAGGAGGGNGUGGGUAUGAAGGUUAUAUAGGUUACAUAUGGUGGGUACAUGUGGAAAUGAGCAAGAGAUUAUGGUAUAAUAUGGGCUCGGUGAGUAUAUGGAAUAAGAAAUGGGUAUGGUUACUUAAUUGGGUAGGUAUGAGAGAUAUAGAUGGAUGAAGGUGAUGAGCAUGACGGCGGGAUAGGAUGAAGAAGAGUGUGAGAGGAGCGACGGAUGGCCAUGCGCGGGAGACGUUAAAUAGAGAACGAGUGGCGAGAGAGAGGGAGAGACACGGGUUAGUGUUCUUGCUCACAGGUGGCAUGGGUGAUGGGAGCAGGGUGUUUGGGAUGGGUAAGGUAAGUUGUAGAUGAGCCCAAGGCUGAGGGAAGUGGGUCGCUGCAGCAUUUGGAGAUGGUAGUAGCCAUCCCGUGCAUGAGUUUCUGGACUCGGAUAGGUAGCGCUCAUUGCUUGCAUCCUCUUUGGGAGAUGAUAGCGAUUUCAGGGCUGACGAGAUAUCAUUGGAAGCAUCAGGAGUCUCUUUCCAUGCUCCCAACAUCUGAUUCAUUAUAUCUUUGCAUUAUGAUUUCCACAGAAACCCCGACAUGUAACAGAAACAAGACGCAGAGGUAGAGAUCCUCAGAAAUGUAUGAGUCAAACAUAGCAGGCGUUCCAACAGCUUUCUUGUCCUGUGGGCCAUGGCAUGGCAACCUCUUCCUCAUCCACAUGCUUAUCUUGAUUAUUUAUUAUGAGUGUCAUUGAUGGCUCAGCAGAUAAGUGGCAGGUGCACCCUCUCUUGGCCAAAGGAACGCCAAUACAAAAUACGACUACGCUCGUCCAAAAGCCGGCGUGACUUUGGGUCAUAUGGGAUUUCCUUGUUGGUCUUGGAUCGGUUUCAUUGGAGGGUGCAACCAAGGGAAUCUGACCGGCGACUUUGACGGCCUGGUUAGAUUAGGACCGCUGGAUAUGGAAGUUGAGAGAUGCGUAGAGACCGACGGCAAAGGGAGGAUGAGAGGGUUUAGAAAGAAUGAGAAGGGCAAAUGUGGUGGUGAAGCAAGUUACUGGCAAUGGGUAUGGAGGAUGGGAAGGUGAUAGUGAGAGAAAAGAUAUGUAGGGGGUAUGAUCAAUGGGGUUUAGAAAAUGGUUGUGAAGAAAUGAUGCAGUGGGUAUGAGGAAGAAAUGAAAGUGUUAGAUUCGACAUUUCAGGUGGGCAUCUGGAUAUGGAAAUGGGGUACUGGCUCACGAUGCUAGAGGUUGGCUGUAUACCAGAGCAAGGAUUCCAAAUUGCCUCAAUGCUGCCAUUGUGCACGAAACCCAGCCGGGUAGCAAACACUGUAUACGUAUAUUUUCAAUGGUAGCUCACUGCAACAAUAAUAUCCCAAUGCCAAUUGACUCUCAUACAACGAUUUCGGCAUAUAUUAAACAAAUCCUGACGCCCGUUCUACAAUCCUUGGAACGACGUGUUACAGCAUGCCAAUGCGGACCCAAACUUCCAACAUGCAAGAGAAGUGGGAGAUCCUGGGGGAAUAAACUGGCUAGCGAAGUCCAUGGGUCAUACUGGACUUGCACUCAAUGCGAUUCAUUAACGGGGACUGUAAGACCAUGAAUCUUAUACACCCAAUACUUAUGGUAUCAAGUCGAGCCUGUCAUCCAUGGCGUUUCGACCCUGGCAGCUUAUUCAUAAAGCUUCACACUAUCUCAAACUUCCAGCGUUGCGUCAUUGUCAUUAUGCUUCCAAGAAACGGGAUAAAGUGCACGACUGCGCUAGAUCUCAUAUAUGGAAUCGUCCUUAAGCAUGACCCAUCAUCGAAACACCUUUCGAUUAUCCGAGAAAACUUGAUUAAUAUAUUCUGCGUUACCUUCAGCAACAUUGGCAAUCACAUUCCCUGUCUAGGAGGAUAACUGGUUGCUCUUCGUGGUGAGUUCGGUGCCGUUUAAGCUUCUCCAUCGCAUCAAAGGAUAGCCAGCCAAAAGGGAAAUGAUACCAUAGAUGAUGAAGGAGUGGCACAGACAGAUGAAGCAGUCAAGAGGUAUCCUUAGAAGUCCUCUGCGGAUGACAUUUUAAGGGCUUUGUGAUACUCUGAAGCAUAGGUACUCAGUUAUGACCUCCAAUCCUGAUAUAGAACACUCAAAACAGGCUCAAUCUACUCAACAUGCUCUUCGGGCACUCCAUAGAAACUAAGCACCUGUAAUCGCAGUUCCCGCUCCUUGGAUUUGCAUUCUCAGAUUGGAGAUGCACCAGUCAAAACACGUCGCGAACAGACACCAAAACAGAGAAAAAAUAUAGAGGAAAAUUGAUAGAACCAAACAAAGAUGGGUGAGAUGGGAGUUGGUUAAGCAAGACCUGGUCUCAUAAUUCAUCCACAGGCUUACCAACUAGUGGGGGAAGAAAUGGAUUUAAAGAGAAAUGAUAAGAAGAAGACCUUGAGAUACCACGCGGAUAAAACUGGUCCAGAUUCACAUCAUUUCUCUCAAAAUGAACCCAGAAAAAAAAAUAUGAACAUGUAGUCAUAGCGAAUCCAAUGAAAACAUAGAAAUCAACAAGAGCAACCACAUGAUAUCCACACGCAAACUGCUAAAUAACACCCAGCUAGGAACAGGGGGGAGCAAAUAACAGAAGAAUAAUGGAGAUAAAUGAGUAGCAUACCUGGAAAAUGCUCUUUCGAGGUUCUAUCCUCUAAACUAUCAGAAAAAAACCUUAUCUACUCCUCCGUAGGUACAACAUCCGCUUCCCCCUCAACGAAACUUGCCCCUCAAGCUCUCUCCCUCUCUCUCUCAAGUCGCUCUCUAUUCUUUUCCUCACUCCCUGAAAAGAUACAAUGCUUCAGAAAACUCUCUCAAAAGCUCUUGGAGUCCUCCCCCCCCUUCUCACCGUUCUUCCAAAAACCAGCCAAAAGCCCUCUUGAAAAGAUCUUACUCUCCUCUCAAUAACUCUCCAGAAUGGCCGCCCAAAAGCACCUCCUCUAGCUCCCUCUCCUAGCUCCCGAAAACUCCCCCCUCCUAAUCACAGCCCAG